rnacentral:rRNA from 1 species
GACGAACGCUGGCGGCGUGCUUAACACAUGCAAGUCGAACGGAAAGGCCCUGCUCUUGUGGGGUGCUCGAGUGGCGCACGGGUGAGUGUCACGCGAGUAACCUGUCCUUGACUUUGGGAUAACUUCAGGAAACUGGGGCUCAUAUCGCAUAGGAGCUCUUGCUGCAUGGUGUGGGUUGGAAAGUUUCGGCGUUUGGGGAUGGAAUCGCGGCUUAUCAGCUUGUUGGUGAGGUGGUGGCUUACCAAGGCUUUGACGGGUAGCCGGCCUGAGAGGGUGACCGGCCACAUUGGGACUGAGAUACGGCCCAGACUCCUACGGGAGGCAGCAGUGGGGAAUAUUGCACAAUGGGCGGAAGCCUGAUGCAGCAACGCCGCGUGCGGGAUGACGGCCUUCGGGUUAUAAACCGCUUUCGCCUGUGACGAAGCGUGAGUGACGGUAAUGGGUAAAGAAGCACCGGCUAACUACGUG